AAUAAUAUAUAAUUAAUUAACAUUUUGUUGCUUUGCCACACGUGCACAAUAGAAACUCACAAAAAUAACAAACGGCACAUUUUCCUUGCUUGACGUAGAAACAGGUAAACCGUUUUGGAUCACUGUGCCAAUGACUGUACCAGAUCUGUGUUACGCGUGGGUUGCCUUUGACAAUAAGGCACCGGACUACAGCCGUAUAGUUUUCAAACUAGAAGGCCAAUAGACGAGAGUAGGCAAGAAGGAGUCUACCUGGAUGGGCGAGAGGAAUGUCCAGUUGUCCAUAAAAGCAUGGUUUGUCAUCUGAUUUCUUUGAGCCUGGUGGAGAUGGAUGCAACCAUACUACAAGGCAGGACAUUUCGCUGCAUCCAAGUUGAGGCUUGCUACCAGCAGGAACAUGGAGCACUCUGUCAGUGCUACAGAGACAGAAUGGUCCAAGGACCUCCAGAGCCUUCUGAUCAAUUACCUGCGUUCUCUUCAGACUACAGAGAAGUAAGCUCCACUCAUAGUGUACCUAAUGCAUCAUGUAAACCUCCUUCACUGUGGCUGUCCGCCUGUGUGAUGACAUAGUAUAUUAUCUAGAGCCACUUGUUGGAUUGGAUUUACUGUACUCACGCCAUAAGUCAUGCGCUCUCCUCCCUGUAAACGUCUCCCAGACUUUUAUCAAAACUAACGUGUCCAUCCAGCCCUUAUCCCCAGGUGAGUCUGUUGGACUAUGGAACUUUAGAGCAGCACAUCAAAAGGCCUGCCACCCUGUUGUCAGGUAUAUGCAGACAGUUCCCUGAAGAAGGAUGCCACUAUCAAGGCUUAAAUGCCACAUUUUGGGGAUGACCAAAUGCAAUAUAGUUUUGUAUCAACUAAUUUGAUUAGAUUACAAAACAACUUUUUCAUAGCAUGUUUGUCACUAACUUUUACUUAUUUCUGUGGUAACUUAAACUCAACACGUGGAGAUUAUGAUUCAAUAGGUCUAAAGUAUAUGAACGUCUCAUGUAAAGGAUGAAUACAUUGUAUUAAUGUAUAUCACACAGGUCUCAAGUAAAAUAUAUAUAUAUCCCAGACAAGAUUGAAGAAUGGGACAAGUAAAGUGAAUAUUUGUCAGUAA